GACAGAGGGUGCAAACGUUGUUCGGAAUUACUGGGCGUAAAGCGCGUGUAGGCGGCCCUGCAAGUCGGAUGUGAAAUCCCACGGCUCAACCGUGGAAGUGCAUUCGAAACUGCAGGACUAGAGUCCUGGAGAGGAAGGUGGAAUGCUUGGUGUAGAGGUGAAAUUCGUAGAUAUCAAGCGGAACACCGGUGGCGAAGGCGGCCUUCUGGACAGUGACUGACGCUGAGACGCGAAAGCGUGGGGAGCAAACAGG
rnacentral:rRNA from 1 species